rnacentral:tRNA from 1 species
GCCUGGCUGGCUCAGUUGGUAGAGCAUCAUGUGACUCUUGAUCUCAGGGUUGUGAGUUCAAGCCCCACGUUGGGUG